AGAACGAACGCUGGCGGCAGGCCUAACACAUGCAAGUCGAACGCUCCAGCAAUGGAGAGUGGCAGACGGGUGAGUAACGCGUGGGAACCUUCCCUAUGGUUCGGAAUAGCUCAGGGAAACUUGGGGUAAUACCGGAUAAGCCCUUCGGGGGAAAGAUUUAUCGCCAUUGGAUGGGCCCGCGUCGGAUUAGCUAGUUGGUGGGGUAACGGCCCACAAGGCAACGAUCCGUAGCUGGUCUGAGAGGAUGAUCAGCCACACUGGGACUGAGACACGGCCCAGACUCCUACGGGAGGCAGCAGUGGGGAAUAUUGGACAAUGGGCGCAAGCCUGAUCCAGCCAUGCCGCGUGAGUGACGAAGGUCUUCGGAUUGUAAAACUCUUUUGGCGGGACGAUAAUGACGGUACCGCAGAAUAAGCCCGGCUAACUCGUGCCAGCAGCCGC
rnacentral:rRNA from 1 species